UGCCAGCACCCCGAGUGGUCGGGACGUUUAUUGGGCCUAAAGCAUCCGUAGCCGGUUCUGCAAGUCUUCCGUUAAAUCCACCUGCUUAACAGAUGGGCCGCGGAAGAUACUAUAGAGCUAGGAGGCGGGAGAGGCAAGCGGUACUCGAAUGGGUAGGGGUAAAAUCGUUGAUCCAUUGAAGACCACCAGUGGCGAAGGCGGCUUGCCAGAACGCGCUCGACGGUGAGGGAUGAAAGCUGGGG
rnacentral:rRNA from 1 species